GCAUGCCUACAGCAUAGCGUUUUGCAUUGGAUCCCAUUAGAACUUUGUAGUUAAGCACGCUUAGUCUAGAGUAGUACUGGGAUGGGUGGCCGCUUGGGAAGUCCUAGUAUUUUACAUGCC
rfam:Picea glauca, whole genome shotgun sequence.